rnacentral:tRNA from 1 species
GGCCUAAUGGCCCAAUGGCAAGGCGCUUGACUACGAUUUCAUCGGUAUCAAGAGAUUCCAGGUUCGACCCCUGGUUAGGUCA